rnacentral:lncRNA from 1 species
UAAAAUCAAUGAAAAGUACUUUAAAAAAUUGUAAAUUUCAUAUGUUGUGGUUACACUGAUCUUUUCUUUGAACAUUUCUGCUGUGAAAUUCUUUUUUUUAAUACAAUGAUUUAAUACCUGCAUUUGGAGACUUAAACUUCUUACAGAUGCUAAUUAAUUAAUUAGGCAAAUAGGUUUGAGGGUAGUUAUGAAGUAGUAAUUUCAGUUUGUGCUCUUCCAGUAACUCAGCAUGACUUUCACUCUCAUUUCUAGCAGAUAUUACAGUGAGAGAUGAGCAUUUCAGUUUGCAGCUGACAGUUUAGGGUUAAGAUAUGAUUCCAGGUAACAGAAGCCAAUGAGAGUACACCCAGUUGAUGUUUGUGACAUCAUCUUCCAGUCGGAGUACAUAGAACAGCUGAGGUAGCGUUCAGUUUCAGCCCCAGUGCCAUUAUGAUGGAUGUUUACAUCUCUUCAUUGAGAGCCAAUUAUCUCGCUUUUGUGUGAGGCCCAAGGAUCACUCAUGCUGCCUGGCUGCACAGAGCACUGUUGGAUCUAGCUGAACGAAUUGUUUUCUGUCUCUGGUUGAUGUGCUUAGGUGAUGGAAGGGUAUCAACUGGAAAAACUUUAGGAAAUUCUGCUGGUUAGAGACUGGGAAAGGGAAGCCAGGACAAACAAAGAAGACUCAAAAUGAGAAUGAAAUAAAUCUAAACUAUUAGAACUUCAGAAGAGGAUAGAUAUGAUGAUGCUGAGGGUAGAAAAUUUACUAAAUUCUGUGUGCAGAAAAUAUCUGCACAUUUGAACAUGGCACUCAUUUACCUUCUGCUUCCAUAUCCUGUCUUCCAUUUUCCUCUCACUCAUAAUUCUUCAGUGGCUUUUUGUUACUGACAGGAUAAUAUAUGGCUUGCAAGGCCCAACCUGGCAGACUGUGUGCUCCACAGCUUUUACAUUCUCUUCUCAUCCCUCUCACUGUCUCUGCUCUGCCCCACCAUGGAUCCUUGGCUACAGCAUUUCCUCAGUAAGUGGAUCCCUCUGAACCUUCUUCACUACUGACCUCCCAGCAUAAAUCUCCAUUAAAGAAAUGCCUGAGGAAGUGAAGAAGAUAUCUUAAGAAAGUCAUCUUCCACUGAUCUUGCUAUGAGAUAUGAAUAUGGGGAAGAAGCUGAACCAACUGAAGCAGUAGUCUUGGUCUGCUCAACAAGCCUGAUGAAAGAAAAGGUUUUAAUAGGUCAUUUGAAAAUGUUUAAUAAAUGAUAUAUUGCUUAUAAUUUUACUACAACCUCAUAUCAUAAAUAUAACUAAUAUUCACUUUCUGUUUACAACCUGCUAGACACUAUGAUAAACAUUUUAAAUUUUCUCCUUUUACUCCUAGAAGUCCUAAGAAAUGUAAAUGAUUUAUUAUCACUAUUUUCUUAAUAAGGAAGCCUAGGAUUAGUUAGGAAGUUCACAAUGCUAGUAAGUGAUAGAUCUGGAAAGUAAUGUUAAAGUAGGUGAUUUAUUUAUUCAAAAAAUUAAAUUAAAUUAUUCCAAAAAUUUCAUUCAUACUGUUUUGUUAAAUACAUACAUUUCCAUUUUGUUAACCUGUUUGUAGGUAUUUAUGCACUUAUAUAUGUUAUGUGUGUUUUCUACAUAUUUUUGUUUAUAAUAAACUAUAUAUCCACACUCAUUCUUCCUGUCUGUGAUGAUAGAUAGAUGAUAGAUUUAAAGAUUGGGCUAAUGGGAUAUGUAACAUAUUUAUCUUACUAAAAGUAAGACUUUCCCAAGUAUACAAUAUAAAAGACUUUUCCUCUAAUUAAAUUGUCUAUAUCUGUUAACUCUGGCAAUGAUUUUUACUUACUUUAAAUUUAAAUUUAAAAUUGUCCUGAAUCAUUAGUAUAUUAGUAUAUUUUCUUAUAAUUAUCCCACAUUAUUAUAUUUUCUUAUAAUUAGUAUAUUAUACAUUAUAUUAUUAGUAUAUUUUCUUAUAAUUAUCCCACCUGAACUGUCCAUAUAAGAGCGACAACAGCCUCUCCCAACCCUGCCUUCACAUAUUUGCUUAAUAAUGAGUGUACACUGUAUGGUGCCACUGGCCUCAGCACUAAACAGUGGCAACAUCCUUGUUCUUUGCUUUAGUACUGGAGAUGAUGGUUGCCCCAUCCCUCAUUAUUAGCGCUACAUCCCUCAUUAUUCAUUUAGACCAAUUGUUAAAAUCCUAUCUCCCUUGCCAGAGAUUGAGAAAUAUAACUGGUACUUACAGGGCAUGAGCUAAAACCUGCCAAGAUGUGGAUUGAAAACAUGAUCUUUUCCCUAAAAUAAAGACAAGAGAGAUGGAUUCCCUUUUAUGGAUCUGCUGGAGAUGUCUCAUUAACCUUAAGUAGUCAAAGGGCCAAGACAAUUUGCCCGGAGAUGGCUCGGAAGCUAGAAACCAUGCAAGUCUUUGAUGACUUUGUGGAAUUGCUACAUUAACCCAAAUUAAAAACAUCCUACCUUAACACUAUUAAAUGAGAUUUUACCUUUCAUUAUUAUCUAAUAUUUGCAUUGAAAAUAUGUGUGCACAUAGUUACUGUGAACCUGUAAGACAUGUAGGCCCAUGCACUGAGUGGUAAUAAAUUAGACUUUUAAGUGUGUUGCAAAGGCAUAUUAGAUUUUUAUCUGGAACUGACACAAUGCUAUGCUAAUGUAGGGGCAUAUCUUAAAAUACAUAAUCAUUGUUACGUAUAACCCAAGUUUGGAUUUUUGUAGUAAUUAGUAGCAGUUUUUAAAUUGCACCACAAAUAUUCCACAACUACUUUAUUCAAAUACCAUGCUGAACUCUAUGUGUAGCAAUAACUUAGACUAAGUACUGGCUUUCUAGAGAAGGAGGCAGACAUCCUACAAGACAAUUGGGAGAGCCACAGUGCUUAACCUUAUACACAGUGUACAAAGGGGGUGGAGAGUACUUUUAAUUUUACUCGUCAGUCUGCUAAAAUGAUGUGGCGUUUCAGAUAAUGUGUACAAGCACUGUGAGUGAGCUGAAAUGAUCUAUCAUGAUCAAUCUGAAAAAAGAGGCUGGAUGUUGAGAGAAAUUUGAGACUGAAAAUCUGACAGCAAAGAGAGGCACUAUUACAAAAUGAAUCCUGUAAAGCCUUAGUAUGAAGUUUAUAUUUUCAACUAUAUGAAGGUGUCAUUAAUUAUUGGAGAGUUUUCAACUUAUUAGAGAAGGGAUAUGGAUAUGUUGAAGUUUUAGAAAAAAACUUCUAUUACUUCUUUUUUGAUCAAUUGGAGGUAGACAAUUUUAAAACUCUGAUAUUGGUUCAAAAGUUUGUUAAAACUUAUUGAGGAAAAGGAUGAUUAUGACCCAAACUAAGAUUAGAGCAUAAGGAAAAGAAAAAAGAUGAAUUUGAGAAAGCAAAGUCAAAAUAAUUAAGGACCUGAAUAUAUAGGUCUGGAGUUCAUAGGAAAAGAUGUUCUAGGUUGUAUAGAAUAAAAUGAGCUUAUGGAAGUGGAAGAACUAUUCCCACAAAUAAAAAACUGAGUUGGAGUUUCAUUGAUUUUAUUUUUUGUUUUGGUAGAAAAGAGUUAAGGACAGCUUCUAUUGUUUAAAAUCAUCAUUUAAGAACAGGUGGGAAGAAAUAAAUUCAAAUAAAUAGACAAAAUUCUGACAGAGAAGUAAUAAGUUAAGGAGUUAAAAGGAAAGAAUAUUUCAUGAAGGUGGGAGGAGGCAAUGGUGUCAAGUGUAGCAUCAGUUCAUAUGUGGGAAAAUAACAAAAAAAUAAAUGAAAUGAGAAAUGCCCACUGGAUUUAGCAAAAAAUAGGUCAUUGCUGACCUUGGGAACAGCAGCUUCAGCUGGGAAAUGUAGGGAGAAUACAAAAUCAGAAUGAGUUUAAGAAUGAAUUAGAGGUAAAUUAGGGGAGAGAAAACUCAAGCAACUAAUGUGAAGGGAGAAAGAAAUGUCAUUAAGUAGAGGGGACAAGUGGCGUUGUCCGAGAACUCUGCUCUGAUGUAUGAGUUGUCAAGAAUUCUGCCCAUGCACCCAAGAACUGUCAGUGCAAACUGGGACUUAUGCUUGCAUCCACUGUUUAGGAGACACUGAUUGGUACCUACUUUGCAUUUAGAAUGAUACUCAAACCACAAUGGCAGGCUGACUCAGCAGAGUGAUUCCUACUUGAUGGAGUUUCUCGCAAAUGUGCAUACAGACUGCAGAGUUAGGUGCAUAGUCAUUCUUCAGUAAACAUCUGCAUGACACGAGGAUCGAACUUGGGUCCUUGCGCUUGCGCAGCAGGUGGCGAAACCACUGAGCUAAAUCCCCGGCCCCAAAGCAUAAUCUUUUGAAGUCACUGUAGAAUGAAAAGAAGUAAUCUUUUCAAAUGAUUUUAACAGUAAGUAAUGCUAGAAAAUUAAUAUAUACAUACUGUAGUUUUAUUUCACAAGGAAAAUCUGCCAAAUAAUUCAUCUCAAAAGAAAAGUCAGUUCUUACUACGAGUUAUUUAAACAAUAAUUAUGGAUAUUUUUAGACACUCAUACAUUUUUAGAAAGGGACUCCCUAAUCAAAUUAAAAAGGACAACACAAAAUUUACAAAAUUACAUUUCCCUGCUUUUCUGUUAUUAAGAAUGCUUAAUUUAUCCUUUUCUCCAGCAUAGCACAGGAAAAUUGUUCUGGAAUUUACCAGCAACCAUCAAGACCAAGGUGAUACAACUGUGAAACCUAGCAUCGCUGGGGGAGAUUAGCUGUUCCACUCCUUGAAACCCAGCAAGGCUGUCACCUAUCAAAGGCUGCACCUUGGGAUUCCUUGCAAUAAAUAUCUGAAGAAGAAUCUAAUGCACCAUUAACGUCAAAGUGUCUCCCAGACUACAGUAUUGGCUUUUCCUUAAACACUUUAAGCACCAACCACUUGGCUUCUUUCCAGAUUCUUAGUUUCUUAUUGAGUCAGUGCUGAACCUGUAUCAUCGAAAUGUAGCACUUUGAAAACAGGCUUGUUAUAAGCGGCUUAUAGAAGAAAUUUUUUCCACAAAAUGUCAUUUCCUUUUCUAAAACAUGUUUAAUUCAUGUUGACCAGUACAGGCCUCAGCCAUGCAAAAUUUCUAAUAUUAUACCCCAUAUGAUACAUCAAAGCAAAUAAAUGUAGAUAUAAAAAUCUAAAAUAGAGUAAUUUAGAAUCUUCAGUCUUCACCUAUAUUAUUGAGUCCCUAUCCACUGCAGCAAAUGACAACUCUUUAGUUUACAGUUUAUUAAAACUUCACCUAAGAUUUAACAUUUAAUAUUACAGAUAUUGCUCUGAACUGAUUGCUGUACAGGAUUAGAAAAUGUUUCACUUUCAGUGAUGUAACAUCAAAUGCCAUUCAACAAGGACCAGUCAUAGCCUUUAUGUAUGAGCAAAUGAUGACAUUUCAAGAGAAAUCCUACCCUUCUCAUCUGUGAAGUUCGUUUUCAUCUUUUACCUAGCUAUUGAUUAUUUCAUUCGCUUUCCUCCUAAACACCCAUAGGUGUGUGCACAAAAGUGCACUGAUUCAACACCAGAAACCUGGGGACCACUCUAUUUGGCAUUCCUUAUCACUGCAGUAAAAAAUCAAAAAGAAAACUAUAUGUUAAGUAUUUAUGUUAAACUUUAUCCAUGUUUUAUUUAGUUCAUGACAGCCUACACCUUUAGCUGUAAUUUUCCUCACAUUGAUAUGAAAACAAAGAAAAAAAGCUACCCCCUUCAAGUUCCUCAAGAAUAGAAAAAAUAAAUAAUCCAACAAUAGAUAGUAAAUAACAGAGUCAGGACUGAAACCAAGACAUGCUGCCCUGAGAUCCUAUGAAUUUAAGUUUUCUGUUACGCAUGCUGCUUUUCUUUCCAAAGCUGAUCCCAUUUGAAGUGAUACAACUUCUGUUUGUGCAGCAAUAUUUGAAUCUUUUUUGUGAAUUAUGUCAAUCACCAGUGAAAGAAUAAGAUAAAAUACUGCUUUGUAAAAUAAAAGAAUAGCAAAUUGCUUUACCUCUUUAAGCUUCAAUUUUCUGAUUUCUAAUAUUUUUGUUAGAGAAUUGUAUUUGGUAUUAAAUAAUAUAAAUCACAUUUUAGAUAUUUUAACUGUAAAUUCCUGUGCAAAUACAAAUAAUACUAUUAUUAUGCUCCCCAAGUAAAAAAUUAAAAUACAAAUGUAUAUAUGAGUUACACCAAAUCUCAUAGAAUAUCAAAUGAAAGAGACAUAAAUACCCUUUAAAUCACUUACCACAUGUUCAGUGGAUAGCAAAUUCAAAGCUUCUGAUUUUUUUCAGUUACUUUUAGUAAUACAAAGGCAUUAUUUAUUAGCAUUUAUAUUACAAUUAUUACGUAUUUGAUUUAUGCAAUUAUGUUCUUCUUUGGUUAAUUAAACACUGUGCAUGGUAACUCAAUACCCUUCUAAAUGUUACAUAGGUGUUAAAUUGGCAUCUGUUUAAGAAGACAGAACAAAACCCAUUGUUAGGUGCGCAGACAUUAAACCAGGAAUUCACAAAAAAAAACAGAAUAAGUUUAACAGACCUUACCUAAGGAUAAAUUAUCUCUUUUGGCUUAAAACUUGCUUUUGCCCAGAAACAUUUCUCUUUUUAAAUGUGUGGAAAAUAGCAUCUCUGGCACUUCUUAAACAAAUAUUUUGCUAAAGGAUAUGCUUUAGAAAGCUUCUAUUAGUUGGCAAAAGUAGUUUAUUAUCUUCAAAGUUUUCUAAUACAUUAUAUCUGAUUAUCAAAAACUUUGAAGAUAUUAAAACUUUAGGCAUAAAUUUUUAGGUAAAUUUCCUUUUUAGUUUGACCAAGCUUUUGUACCACCUUGUCUAUAGGAGACAUCUGUCAGGGAUCCCCAUAGUGGUGACCCUGAUAAAAAUGCAGUGAGGGAGGGGGUGUCCUGUUCAUAACACAAUGGAAAUCACCUUUCCUAUUUGCCACAUAAAUUAGGGAGAAAAUGAAAUGUUGGAAGUAGAUAUUUAUCUUUUAAGGGUCAAAUCUCUGGAGAUACCUUGUUAUACAUCUGAGGGAAGAAAUUAUUCAAAAUUUUUUGUUUUAUUUUGUAAAUGGAAGAAGUGAAUUCCUUUGUGUUGUUUAGAACAUUUCCUUUUGGAGUACUCCUAUGUAAAUAAAUGAAAGCACACAUUAUUGUUGUUUUCCUUUUUUUUGAGGAGAGUAGCAGUACCUUGGCAUCAUCAGCUUUUGUGUUGUGAUUUUCUACUUCAUAAUGAGAUCAGCUUAUUCGGGGCUCAUUUUUUCCCCCAAAGAUGACUAGUUGAACUGAAAUUCAUUUAUACAAACAUUAUAAUUUAAGUGCCAAUAAUGGCUCUGAGUUAAAGAAUGAAUGAAAUCAGAAAGGUCAAAAUCUAUUUGACUUCCUUUAAAUAUUUGAUAGCUUGUUUACUUAAAUUUAUUUUAUUUGAAAUGCCAAGACAUUUGCCCUUUUCGUGUAGAUUGUAGAACUCUUCAUUAGUUUUUUUCUGGCAUCUGUUCAUUUCAAAACAUUAAACAUUGCCCAGUACAUCUAUGUGUUUCUAAGGGUUAAUUGAGAGGUAGUGUCUAACUUCAGAGCACACAGUGUGAUACAUGGAAACAGCCACUUAGAACAACUAAUAACCAAAAGUGCUUUUCCAUCCAUUCAAUACAUGUUUAAGUAUGCAUCAUGUACCAGUCAAGCUUCUAGAAUGGAGGGAUACUUUAGAAAAUAAAAUCUACCAAGUCCCUAACUUUACAAGCAGCUUUCAUCUUAAUGUUGAGCAAUUCAAAUGUUUCUGAUUCUGAUUGGUUAGAUUAAUAUCAUCUCUUCCCAUGGAAAUUUGCAAGGUCAUUGAUGAAGGAAAAUGGUGGUGACGUUUGAUAGACAUUAUCUCCUCCUUGCAAAAAGAUGAUUAUUUUGUGUUGGUACUAUUGAAAGAUCACCUAUAUAAAUAACAGUUUGCUUUUAAAUAUUGUGUAUUGCAACAAGUUAUAUAUAACCUUAUAUUUUGCUUAUAAGGCAAAAUAUUGUUUUGUAAGAUACAAACACAAUUCUCAUCUAUUGCUGUAACCAGGAAACUUCUCAUGACUUCCUAACAGCAGCAUAUGUAUUGUUUUUUAAAAAAUCUCUUUUAUGAUGUCCACUUUGUCUUUCACUUUAUAUAAUUAUGUGCUUCAUUGUAUCAUUACUAGAUUGAAAGUUACUUAUAGGAAAGAAAUCAUGUUAACAGUAAUCAUUUCAUUAUGUUUGGGACCUAACACAAGACAUGGCUUAUACUGCCUAAAUAUUUCCUGUAUUAACUUGAAUAACUUACUGUAAAUUAGGAAAUUAAACAAAGACCACAGAUAAAUAAAUAAUAUUCUGUGUGUGUCCAAUGCUCAGUUUGAAUUUCAGCAUAAAUUGGAAAGGCAUGUUUUCAUCCAUAUACAUAUCUUAAUAUUUCUCAUAUCAUCACUAUAUAUUAGAGAACUAUAGUUUUCUGGUUGCUAUCACUGAACUAUAUUCCUCAAGAGCAAAGAGAGAAGAGUAGGUUUAAAAUGUUAUUUAUUAUAUUAAUAUAAAUAGUAAACUUUAUGCAACACUCAUGAAAUUCAUAUGUAAAGAAAUAUGCAUUUCUGGAGUCAUUUACAUUGUUCCAAGGCUAUAUUUUCAGGGAUCAUUUCUAUAGUUCAUUACAUUGUUGCAUUUUUGUGAACACAGGUCUCUAUUAUAUCAUUAUUGGAGGAGAAAAUAACUAUAACACAAUUAGUAUUUACAUUUGUAAUAUUAUCUCUCUUACUUUCCAACUUCUAUGAUCAUUAAUAUGUGGGUUGCUCAUUAAUUUAUAGAUAAUAGCAGUUAUAGUAUAUGAAGAAAAAUUAGGAAAAGCAUCAAGCUAAUUAUUUUCUCUUUUAAAAUCUGCAUACAUUUCUUGAUCCUUCCAGACAGAACAAGCCAGAAGUUCACAUUUUCUUAACAAUGGCUUUGAUAACGCCUAAUAACUUUCACUGGCUAGCAGAGUCUACUUCCCCUGAGGAGUUAGGCAACUGAUAGGCUUGUUUUGUUAGUUUGACUUUGCUGAUCUUAACAAGAAAUAAUUCUCAUCACUGUGGUGAAUAUAUAAGUAUUGUAAUAACAUAUAUCUAACUGUCACUUGCUGACUAAAUUUUUUUUGUUCUUCAUAUAAAUUGGUAUCUUACAUACAUAAAGAGAAAAGAAUAGGGCUUGUUGGCAUAAGGAAUUUGUUUCAGAAAUGUAAGUUCUUAUUCCUUCUGUUACGUGGAGAAAAUGUGGAAAAUAAUACAACAUUCACUAUAUGAAACACAGGCAAGUCUUGUAAGUGGGAAAUUGCUUUCGUUUCUCAUUCUUCAAACAAACUUUAAAUGUUUCCCUUGAAUAGGUGACAGCUCUAGAAGCUGUGUCCUCAAAGGCUUUUUCUUAGUUCAAGCUAAAUACAUCUAUUCCAUUGGUGUAAAUAUUUCUACAAAAUAAUUCAUUGUGUGCACCUUCGAUUUGAUUAUAAAGUAGAUUUAGAAGACAUUUAAAAAUUAACUGUAGUUAGGUAAUGCACUCUACACUAUCAGCAAAGUACUUAGAUAAAAUUGUACAUGGCUGACUUUUUAUCUUAUCAUUGUUUCUAUUCACAUGAUUUUCCCUGAGGAAUAUUUAAUUGAUUCCCUUUGGUUUAAUCUUCCUUUUCUAUUAGAUUUCUUUUUCCUUGUCUACAAGAAAGUCAAUAAAUACAAGGGAUGGAUGUGGACAUGUAGUUUCCAAAGAAAACUGGAGCCAGGUCACUCAGAGGAGGAACCAUGUCUUAUUCAUUGUUUUUACCCGAAUAUCUAAUACAGAGUUUGAUGCCUAGUGUAGUUCAAUAAAUACUUUUUGAAGUGAACAAGUUGUACAUUAAGGUCAUGAGUGAGAUUCACCGAAACAACACAUUAUUGUACUUGAAGAGAGAGACAUGUAAGGGAUAUUAAACAGUCAAGAUUCAAAAACUUAUCACACAAAGUUCUGGUUUAAUAUUGAGGGGAAAAGAUUCUAGUUCAUAUUUCUGGCUGUAUCACUGCCUGAUUUAAUAUCAUUAGGUUAUAGUUAUACCCAAAUUUUAUUAUAUUACUCCUUUCCUCCAUCAAACACACAUUAUUCUAUUUCCAUGUCAGGAGAGAGAAGCUCUGGUGUAAGACACACCUGUUUUUGCUGUGAAUCCUUCCAAAUACAUAUGUGGAAUUACAAACAUGAUGAACAUGACAUUCAAAUACAGACUCACAAAGGACAAGUUAUGUUAGAUGAAGAAUCCAGGAUAAUAUAUGGUAACUAUAACUCUAUUUAGCAAAGUAAUAAGUUUGAAGAUCUUUCCUACGUAAGUAUUAAAAUAUUAAAAUCUGAAUCACAAUUCUAGAACUGCCAUGGUAGAUCCAUCAAGAAUGCACCCAUGUGAGCCAGGCACAGUGGCACAUUCUUGGAAUCCCAUCUACCUAGGAGGCCAAGCAGAGGAUCACAAGUUCAGGGCCCACCCUGCAACUUAGUGAGAGUCUGUCUCCAGCCUUAAAAAUAAAAUAAUAAAAUAAAAAAAGAAAGAAAGAAAGAAAAAUAAAAAAAGAAAAGAAAUGUUGGAAACAUAGCCUUAGAUUUGAUCUCCAGUACAAAGAAGCAAUCACUUAUGUGAGAGGCUAAGGAAUUUAAAAUGCCAGCUCCUUUACAUUGAGAACCUUGUUUCGGUGUCCUAGUGGAUGAGUGCCAUCACAAAACAGAAGUACUGAGGAUCUCCUGUAUGAACCACUGUAAACACUUUAACAUCAGGGAGAGUAUAGUAGUGGCCAUGCUGAUGACCACCCCAUGACAUUUCCACUUAGGGUCACUCUGUGCUCAUUGUUGUAUGAAAUAUGUCUGAACUGGGAGAGGAAAUUGUCCCCAAAGGAGGUGUAUUCCAAGGUCAUCCCAGCAGCAUCUUUGCUGCAUUAGCACCUGAGGCAGAUUCAGCACCAAUGGGAAUGGAAAGAGCUUUUGGCACAGGCAGUCUCAAAACUGUGAUCUAAUACUGGAGAGAAAGAAAAUGACAAAAACCACACGGCCAUAAAGAAGCAUGUCCAAAUGUCUAGAUAAGAAUAUUCAGGCACAGAGAAAAAAUGCCUUUGCAAUUCAUGAAGAUGUACAAAAUACUUCUAGUUUAAAAAAAGAGCCGAGAUUGGGAAGAAUUCAAGACUAGAGUCUUAGAAUGAGAAGAUGAGGAAGAAAGCUCUUUUGACAAAUUACUCCCAUGUUAACAC